rnacentral:rRNA from 1 species
CGUUGCACUAUCGUUUGAUGAAUACAUAGUCAAACGAAGCGAACCGGGGGAACUGAAACAUCUCAGUACCCCGAGGAAAAGAAAUCAACCGAGAUUCCCCUAGUAGCGGCGAGCGAACGGGGAGCAGCCCAGAGUCUUAAUCAGCAUUAGCAUCAGGAGAACGGUCUGGAAAGUCCGGCAGUAAAGGGUGAUAGCCCCGUAUCCGAAGGUGUUAGUGUUGUGAACUCGACGAGUAGGGCGGGACACGUGUUAUCCUGUCUGAAUAUGGGGGGACCAUCCUCCAAGGCUAAAUACUCCUGAUUGACCGAUAGUGAACCAGUACCGUGAGGGAAAGGCGAAAAGAACCCCGGCGAGGGGAGUGAAAUAGAACCUGAAACCGUGUACGUACAAGCAGUGGGAGCCCCAUCACUCAAGUGCCUCGGCAAUUGAGUGAUGGUGUAAAACCAUCACAAUAACAGCGCAGGAUUUGCCAACAAGAUUGGCUGAUUUUUUCAAGCCGCAGCGCAGUGGACAUCGAAGUCCAUGAGCAGCGGAAGUUAAAAAAUCGGGCAAGAUUGGCCGCAAAGCCAAGCGGGACAUUUGAGGAUGGGGUGACUGCGUACCUUUUGUAUAAUGGGUCAGCGACUUAUAUUCUGUAGCAAGGUUAACCGUAUAGGGGAGCCGUAGGGAAACCGAGUCUUAACUGGGCGAAUAAGUUGCAGGGUAUAGACCCGAAACCCGGUGAUCUAGCCAUGGGCAGGUUGAAGGUUGGGUAACACUAACUGGAGGACCGAACCGACUAAUGUUGAAAAAUUAGCGGAUGACUUGUGGCUGGGGGUGAAAGGCCAAUCAAACCGGGAGAUAGCUGGUUCUCCCCGAAAGCUAUUUAGGUAGCGCCUUGUGAACUCAUCUUCGGGGGUAGAGCACUGUUUCGACUAGGGGGUCAUCCCGACUUACCAACUCGAUGCAAACUACGAAUACCGAAGAAUGUUAUCACGGGAGACACACGGCGGGUGCUAACGUUCGUCGUGAAGAGGGAAACAACCCAGACCGCCAGCUAAGGUCCCAAAGUCAUAGUUAAGU